GACGAACGCUGGCGGCGCGCUUAACACAUGCAAGUCGAACGGAAAGGCCUGCUUUCCCUUGUGGAUUGCGGGUACUCGAGUGGCGAACGGGUGAGUAACACGUGUGUGAUCUGCCCCCAACUUGGGUAUAAGCCUGGGAAACUGGGUCUAAUUCCCGAUAGGACUGCAGGGUGGUGCCUGUGGUGGAAAACGAUUUUCUAGUGGUUGGGGAUGAGCUCGCGGCCUAUCAGCUUGUUGGUGGGGUAAUGGCCUACCAAGGCGGCGACGGGUAGCCGGCCUGAGAGGGUGGACGGCCACAUUGGGACUGAGAUACGGCCCAGACUCCUACGGGAGGCAGCAGUGGGGAAUAUUGCACAAUGGGCGGAAGCCUGAUGCAGCGACGCCGCGUGGGGGAUGACGGCCUUCGGGUUGUAAACUCCUUUCGACCGCGAGGAAGCCACCUGGUUGGAAGGAUGGUGACGGUAGUGGUAGAAGAAGCACCGGCUAACUACGUG
rnacentral:rRNA from 1 species